GACAAGUUAAUGUACUUUGUAACCUGUUCCCUGAUAAAGUUAAGGAACAUUUGCAUCUCUCCUGAAAGUUUGGGUUAUGGGUAUGUUGGGAAGGUAGGGUCAAAUAUGGGGUAUGAGAUAAGAUAGAACAGGCGUGAGCCACUGCGCCCAGCCUGCUGUGCAUUUUUCACUUAAAUAGUAUUGUAGGUUUGUUGUCUUCUUAAUUGUGGUUAUUGUUGAGCUAGCAGAUUUUUCCCACUAUGGAAAUGUAGCUUUUAAUUUUCUAAUGGAAGUAGGUGGAAGGGACUAGAUUUAUAGG
rnacentral:lncRNA from 1 species